CGAGCCUGUUACUGUUACUGGAACACGCAGAUCUAAAGUCUCCCGAUCGCAAUGGGAGACCGCGUGCGACUUAGGACAAUUCAAGCAAAAUGUCCACAGGGCGGACAGUGUGCCCGUUUAGAUAUUGUGAAGGAAUACGCUGGGCUCGUGAACGGGUUUCCACUUGCUAGCGACCGCAGUGCGACUGCCACUAGACGAAAUUUCCUUUCAGAAAAGUUACAUCGGCGCAAGAUUUCUUU